rnacentral:snRNA from 1 species
AGCCACGCAGUGAGCACAAAGCGAACUAUUCUUUCGCCUUUUACUAAAGAAUACCGUGUGCGCGCUAUAUUUAGUGGCAUAUGCCUAUUUUUGGAGGGGUACUCUUUCUUGAGUUCC